UUCUCUGGAUGAGAAGCUGUGCAUGACAGCGGGACUCGGCCCCCAUCGGAGAAAUGGCCAAGUUCAAUCCUUAACAAAUAAAGCCGCCGCCAUCCAGUAAUUCCCAGGAGUCGUGAAAAAUGUGAUUUCCUUGCUGUAGCAAAUAGAGAAGGUGGGAGGCGGAAGGAUGUGUGCGCCUUGGCCUGUGGAAGAAACCAUAACAAUAUAAAUCAGCACGAUGGAGGAGCCUCUCUCUAUUCAUUAUCUGGGCAUGGCAGAGCUAAUGUGUGUGUUCACUCCAGGAUCAGCCGCCUUUCCCCUGGAGCGAGCUGCUCUUUUCUGAAAUCCACCAGCAACAUGGCAGCAAAGCCCCAAGUUUCGCUUCCUAGAGAUCAUGGUUAUUCUUCAGAGUUCACGGUCAUAAGUGCCAGCCUGGGGACUCUAUGCUGAUCUGGGGGCAUCAAGAGGCAGACACUGGAGGUGUUGAAUGCAGAUGGGAUGGCUGGCACAGCAGCUGUCUUCAUGGAACCAUAAGGGGAGAACCAAGAAAACCAGAGACCUGAAACACUCUGAUGGGCUUGAGUUGGGGAGUCAGUGCCAGACACUGCCUGCAUGUGGACUGGCAGUGUGAGAAAAAUCGGUGCAGGGAGCAAGUGGAAGAGUUAUGUGGGCAGAUGGAUUGGAUUCCCAGCGAUGGAUGAUCUUCUGGAGCCUGAACAAAUACCCCAGGAAGGUUCCAGAUCUCACAGAUUCCCAGUCACAAAAAGUCUGCUUCUAAAAAUAGUACCUGGCUCAGCCCUGCUGCUCAGGCAGCCUUCCUCCACGUAACUCUGCAGCUCUCUGCAAAGGACGGAGUACAAAGUACUAAGGACUUCUGGUCAAGGGCAAACUCUGGCCAGGAAAUGCAGCUACCAUGACAAAGGCUGAGGAAAGAGCAGGGAGCCCUGGCCAACCUCAGACACUAGAUGGAUUUGGCCAGAGAUCACCAAGGGUUGGUAGCUUACCUUUGUGGGAGUCAGCAAGCCCCAGUCCAGCUGCAGUUGGCCACUGAUGGCCCCGCCCCCUAUUGGCCCCACCCCCUGUUGAGUCUCUUCUCUAUGGACUCAGGUAUUUCUAUCCAAUAUAGUUGGACGUGCCAAACCUUCCCUGCACCCUGAGUUCAGCGCCAACCUGGACUGGAAGCUACAGAGAUGUGAGACAUCAAGCUCCUUGCAAAGAACUCAUUCCUCUGAUUAGCCAGAUAGCCCGUGGGUUCAGUGAGCAGCAUGGAGGCCUCUUCCCUGGAGGACCACAGUCUGCUGUCUUCUUGCUAUGCCCAUUUCAGUUUACGUUUAUGAGGGUGAAUAACUGGGAGGGUUAUUCAUUGGGACCUGAUGCCCAAUGGGGAAGCAGCUCUACCUGUGUCUUUUCCCCAGGGCCUGAGCCCCAGAAGACCAAAGAUGGAGAAGAACUCUGUACCUUUCUUUAACUCCAGGGGCAACAGUGGGUGCCAUGAUGCAUGUGUGGAGGACAACUUGCAGUAGGCAGUUCUCUCCGAAGUCAAGUGAGUUCAGUCAGGCCUGACAGAAAGUGCCUUUACAUGGUGAGCCAUCUUGCCAGGCCUAGCAUUCUGUAUUUUGCAUGUGAGCAUGUGCAGUUGUGUACAUGUGUGAGCUUGUAUAUGUGGUUACAUGAGCAUCACAUAUCUGUAUCUGUGUUCGCCCACAGUGUGUGAGCAUGCGUGCAUACUUUGUGGAUGUGUUGUACGGGUGUCUACAUUUGUGUUGUGUGUCCACACGUUUGUGUGUACCUGUGUGUAUGUAUGUCUCACAAGGAGGGAGCCUUGCUCCUCUGCACUCAGGCCAGGGACUGAUUAAGAAACCUGGGGUUUCCAUCUAACACGCUGAGCUAUGGGAAUGGCAGAGCCAGACUUGAAAGACGGAUGAGUUCAUUUCCAGCUUUUGCUGUGAAUCGGUGGUUCCUGGAAUGGCUAAUGGCCCAGAGAAGUAGCAUUUGCAUCUAGCAGAGUAAGAGCAGCCUCGAGAGGCGCAGCUGAGGGGUGAUUUAGAAUAGCUAUUUGGGAAUGUCUACCAUUUUCCAAUAAUGCUUGAGAAAUUGCUUCUCCCGAGAAGACAAAUUUCAAGUGUGCUGGAGGCUGGAGAGGAUGCAGGUUCCCAAGGCUGAGAGCACCAUGGGCCUCCGGAAAGCCUACCACUCUGGCCACCUCGAGGCAGACCCACUGCAUUGAUUGCCUGCUGCCGCCCUGCACCCUCUCCAUGUUCAUGCCCAUCUCCUCCUCCCUCCUCUGGGUC